GAUGAACGCAGGCGGCGUGCCUAAUACAUGCAAGUCGAGCGAACGGACGAGAAGCUUGCUUUUCUGAUGUUAGCGGCGGACGGGUGAGUAACACGUGGAUAACCUACCUAUAAGACUGGGAUAACUUCGGGAAACCGGAGCUAAUACCGGAUAAUAUUUUGAACCGCAUGGUUCAAAAGUGAAAGACGGUCUUGCUGUCACUUAUAGAUGGAUCCGCGCUGCAUUAGCUAGUUGGUAAGGUAACGGCUUACCAAGGCAACGAUGCAUAGCCGACCUGAGAGGGUGAUCGGCCACACUGGAACUGAGACACGGUCCAGACUCCUACGGGAGGCAGCAGUAGGGAAUCUUCCGCAAUGGGCGAAAGCCUGACGGAGCAACGCCGCGUGAGUGAUGAAGGUCUUCGGAUCGUAAAACUCUGUUAUUAGGGAAGAACAUAUGUGUAAGUAACUGUGCACAUCUUGACGGUACCUAAUCAGAAAGCCACGGCUAACUACGUG
rnacentral:rRNA from 1 species